AAAAAUUUAUAAGAUUGAAAUAAUCCAUCCUUUGAAUAUUCUACAGAACUUGCCUGAAACCAUUGGUCCCUAGUUUUUUCAAGACACUUGAAGACCUUUGCCAAAUACCAAACCGAGACCCCUGCCAUCAUUCAACACAAUUGCACAGACGCUAAUCUCUUCAUGGUAAAUUCUUUCCAUUAACCAUUUGGAAUGGUUCUACUCUGAAUCCAGUCUGUGUUUUCCUUUUCCUUAUAGUGUUGAAGUGGAUGCAAAUAUGGUAGCCCAGCCUUUUAAGAUAUACAGAUUUCUGACUCCUACACUGAGUUCCAAGGACUAUAGGUUUGUUUCGAAUAGUUUCUGAGGCAUUUUCUUCCACCUCAUCAAAUUUACCUAUGAUAGGCCUAAGAAAAUGACCACCUAUUUCAAGCAUUUUAUGUUCUUUUAAAACUAUACCUUACAAUUUAUCCCACAAUUUACUUCGCAAUUUACUGUCACUUUUAUCUGGUUUGCUUCAUUUUCCAAAUUACUAAUGAAGGCAAAUGAAUAAACAAAUAAGGAUUUACUACUCACCUUGAAACCCAUCUGUUAAAAAACUUCCUCUCCCAC
rnacentral:lncRNA from 10 species